GUUGACGCCUCCUGUGCACGCGCCGGAAGCAGCGAGGGUCCGUCGGCGCCAUCAGCCACAUGCCCAGGCCACAACCAAGUCCUGCAGGAUCUUCCUUCAAAACCACUUCUCAUGACUUCACCACGAGCACCCCAUCCCAGCAAUUCCAGUAUGCUGCUUUAUCUUCCUCCAUGGCUUCUACUACUCUUUAACGUACUAUAUUAUUUGUUCAGUAGUUUAGAUGUUUACAGCAGCUUUACUCAUAAUUGCCAAAACUUGGAAGCAAACCAAGAUGCCCUUCAAUAUAUGAAUGAACAAACUAUGGUACCAUCCAGAAAAUGGAAUAUUAUUCAGUGCUAAAAGAAAUGAGCUAUCAAGCCAUGAAAAAACAUGGAGGAAACUUAAAUGCAUAUUACUAAGUGAAAGAAGCCAAUCUGAAAAGGCUACGGAUGUGACUCCAACCACAUGACGUUCUGUAAAGGGCAAAACUGUGGAGACAAUAAAAAGGUCAGUGGUGCCAGGAGUUAGGGAGAGAGAGGGAUGAAUAGGCAGAGCCUUCUUAGGGCAAUGAAAAUACUCUUGAUACUAAAAUGGUGAAUACAUGCCAUUAUACAUUUUUCAAAAUCCAUAGAAUGUACAACACAAAGCAUGAACUUUAAUGUAAACUAUGGACUUGGAGUAAUAAUGUGUCAAUAUAGGUUCAUCAGUUGUAAAAAACAUACCGCUCUGGUGGGGAAUAUUGACAAUGAGGGAGGCUAUUGGGGGGGGGAGCAGAGUAUGCGUGGGAAAUCUUUGUACUUUCUGGGCAAUUUUCCUGUGAACCAGAAACUGUUCUUAACAAAUAAACUCUCUUUAAAAAUGUAGAGGUAAUUAGUGGUUUUCUGGGGUGCUAACAGUAUUCUAUUUGUUGACAUGACUGGAGAUUAUAUGGGUGCUCAUUUUAUAC